UACGAAUGGGGCAAGCGUUGUUCGGAAUCACCGGGCUUAAAGCGUGCGCAGGCGGUCAUGAAAGUCAGAAGUGAAAUCCCAGGGCUCAACCCUGGAAUUGCUUUUGAAACUCCAUGACUAGAAUACUGGAGAGGUUAGCAGAAUUCCGAGUGUAGAGGUGAAAUUCGCAGAUAUUCGGAGGAAUACCAAUGGCGAAGGCAGCUAACUGGACAGUUAUUGACGCUCAGGCACGAAAGCGUGGGGAGCAAACAGG
rnacentral:rRNA from 1 species